UGGGGAAUUGUUCGCAAUGGGCGCAAGCCUGAUGACGCAACGCCGCGUGGGGGAUGAAGGCCUUCGGGUCGUAAACCCCUGUCGAAUGGGACGAAUAGCCCGCGAUCUAACAAAACGAGGGAUUGACGGUACCGGUAACGGAAGCCACGGCCAACUCUGUGCCUGCAGCCGCGGUAAUACGUAGGGUGCAAGCGUUAAUCGGAAUUACUGGGCGUAAAGCGUGCGCAGGCGGUUAUGUAAGACAGGUGUGAAAUCCCAGGGCUUAACCUUGGAACUGCAUUUGUGACUGCAUAGCUAGAGUACGGUAGAGGGGGAUGGAAUUCCGCGUGUAGCAGUGAAAUGCGUAGAUAUGCGGAGGAACACCGAUGGCGAAGGCAAUCCCCUGGACCUGUACUGACGCUCAUGCACGAAAGCGUGGGGAGCAAA
rnacentral:rRNA from 1 species